AGAAGUUAUAGAUUCCACUAAUUCUUUAUAUAUGCAUCCAUCAGAAAGGGCUAGAUCGAGUUUGGUACCUAUGAUUUUUGAUGGAACAUGAUAUAGAUCCUGGAGAAGAGGAAUUCUACGAGCAUUGUCUGUAAAGAACAAAAUUGGAUUUAUCAAUGGCAAGUGUAAGAAACCUAAUUCUGAUUCUACGAGCUAUGGACAAUGGGAAAGAUGUGACGAUAUGGUCACCUCAUGGAUUUUGAAUCCACUUUCGAAGGAUAUAGUAGAUAGUCUACAAUGUGUGAAUGAUGCAAAAGAGCUUUGGCAGGAAUUGGAUAGAUAUGACCAGACUAACCAAGCAAAAAUGUAUCAGCUUCAAAAUGAAAUCAAUGAUUUAACCUAAAGCUACUAGACAUUACUGGUUAUUACACAAAGAUGAAAAAGCUUUGGGAAGAAUUGCACACUUUGAUUGUCAACACUCAGUGCAAUUGCAAAUGUGUUUGUGGAGCAAAGGCAAAUAUGCAUAAGGUAGAAUAAGACGGGAGGCUAAUUCAAUUUCUGAUGGGCUUAGACGAGGUGUAUACAGUAGUGAGAGGUAGCAUCUUGAUGGUGAACCCACUACCCACAAUAGCUCGGCCAUUCUCAAUUUUGAUUUAGGAGGAAAAAAAACGUGAAGUUAGGCCACAAAAUCAGUUAAACCUAGAAUCAGUCUUAAUGAAUGUUCUUAGUCAGCCUAAUAAUGGUUUUAGAAUAAAUUAUAACCAGGUGACAAACAAACACAAGGAACCAGUUCAACAGAUCAGGAUACAGAAGUCCACGCAUGUUUUGUGACUACUGCAAAAGGCAAGGCCAUACAAAAGACAAUUGCUAUAAGUUACAUGGAUUCCCACAGAACUUCAAAUUCAUACGUGGUAAAAAUGCAGGAUCAACAGCAAAUGUACAUGCAAGACUUCAAGAAUUUCCUACUGGAGAGCACGAUCUUGCUGAGAGAAAGACAAAAUCAACAUUACACUCAAACUGCACCAAAUCUAACUAAGGACAAGUACAAUCAACUAUUGAGUCUAUUGGCGAAACUUCACAUUGGAACUGUGACUGAGACCUCAAAUAACAUCACAAAUGCAGCUGCAAACUUUGCAGGUAUAUUGGCUUGCUGUACUUAUGGUGAAAUUAUUGGUGAUCUUUCAUAUAAAUGUUCACAAUUACCUGCUAACUUUUGGAUUUUGGAUUCUGGUGUAUCAAAUUACAUGUCCUAUAACAUGAAAUCAUUGGUGAUCUUUCAUAUAAAUGUUCACAAUUACCUGCUAACUUUUGGAUUUUGGAUUCUGGUGUAUCAAAUUACAUGUCCUAUA
rnacentral:lncRNA from 1 species